GGGAGCUCAUGCACAGCCAGGAGGAGCUGGACGUGGUGGAAGUUCUGGCCCUCCAAAUUCCCCACCCGCUGCAGAGGAUAAUUUCAUUUCAUCCAUGAAAAGGGAAGAUAAAGCCAGUGUGGGCCGGGCAGCUCUGAUCUCGUAACGCCAAGGAGCCACUUCUGCUUUCCAGAGGGAGGGAGGCAGCUCAGUGAGCACGUCAACCACGCACAGACCCAGAAACACAACUCCUAAAUAACCUCCCCAGCGUUGUCACCCUGCCACAGAGGGACUGGAAAAGUCAUGUGUGCUCUUUCGGCUGCCUACCCCAAUUUUAUCCUGUAAACACCUAAAACUCCCAAAGACUUUCUGGGCUUUUAUUUCUAUUUAGUAAUAAAUGGUAAUUGUUUAUAAAGGG